rnacentral:lncRNA from 1 species
CACAUUAAAAAAAUAUGGCGACGACGUCGACCACGUUGCGAGAUGCCGGCUGCCGGGAUUUAUUUUUCGCCAUUAAUAAAAUAAUAAUUACCGCCUACUUCAACAAUUGGUGUCGUACGAAAACAGCAGUGCAAUGUACCAUAGAGAGUGUGGGUUGUGGUCGUGGAGAAAAUCAGUUUCAACUAGUUAAAUUAAUAAGAAUAGUAGAACUUCAGUGAAGGGUGUAGUAAAAGUUGAGUUCAGAAUUUAAAAUCUUUCAAUAAUUCUGAAUGUGCUAAAAAUCGAAUUUUUUAUUCUUUUUAAGUUCCAGACCUACAACAUUUUCUUGUUUUAGUUGCAAGUGGUUGCAAUGAUGGUGUACCAAUGGUGAAGGCAGAAUGAGAAACAGCUUACAUAUGCUCUGAAAUUGAAUAACCAAUAAUGCCUUAUUGGCUCUUAACUAGCAUCUGAUCGUGUGUAAUGCUUUUUUACAAAUUAUGUCAUUUUUGAAAGAAUAAGAGUAAGAAAUAUAGGUUUUAGGACAAGAAAAAUCACAGUGACACAAGAAAUAGUCAUCCUGUUAGACUCUGGAAUAUUUGCAUUUCAACCGAUAUUGGUGCAAAUACUGAUUCUAUAAGUCACAUCUUUGCAGAAGAAACUGGCAGCCUGGAAGAAAUUGGCGGUGGUGAUUGGUGUGAAUUUAGAAAUUGAGGCAGGUGUUUCCCACAAUGUACUUGACGAAAGAACUUGAAGGCACUGUAAGCCAAUGCUAUCUGGAAUUUUGCUAGAAAUGUCUUUCAGACAGUCAUAAACGUUGAGAAAAAAGAAGAACCUGAACUCAAAAUAGAACCAGAAGAACCAUAUAGCAUAUACUACCGGUUUAACUCUCCAAGACCCACGUGCUCAAAGACUACAUGUAUUAUUAUGGCAUGCUCUUGUUCAUUUACGACUAAUGGUUUUGGUGGAGUCAUCAAAUUGGGCAUUGGAAAGCUAGCUGCAAAGAUUUGUAAACUAGUACACGAGCAAUCCACUUCCGGUCGGUAAGAACCAGGCGUCCUAGAAGAGACACUAUAAAUGUAAAUGUCGUUCAAGUUUUCCAUUACCAAACCUUUAUCGGCUUCAUUAUCUCAAAGGACAAAGGCAUAGAGGAAUAGGAAACAUUUUCAUUUCUUUCCCAAUCCAAAGCUAAUGAGCAAAUUUUUCUUUCUAACUAAUCCGGAAACACAAAAUGAUGAAAUUCGUCUUUACGGUCAACUAGUUCGACCGUAUCAUGAGUGAACCAUCUAGCCUGAUGUCAUUCAAGAUUUCCAUCACGGUCCCAAGAAUAAUUCCCCGGCUUGGAUUUUCUCAUUGGCCUGACCUCUCUUAAAGAGUCUCUCGUUUUUCCGCACAAACGGCUUUGUGUUGCUACAGAAAGGGUGUUGUUUCUCCGUAAUGAAAGUUAAAAGGGAGACUAGCCUAUAAUUUCCACAUCGCCUGAAACUGCUGUCCAUUUUGCUAGUCUUCGUUAUAGAAGAAAUUCUGCCAUCUCUUCAUCGAUGAGAGACUUGCUGUAACGUUUUGUCAGAAACACUACAGUUAAAGUAAUAAUGAAUGCUAGGUUUUAGCGAACUUAAAUGCGUUGUUCAAGUUUUGUGAGUAGACCAGUCCUGCAAUCAAAUACUGAGUUUUGAGACGUGUCAAAUAGAUGGCGUGUUGAUUGUAUCAGUAAUCGGCUAUGGCGGUUUGCUGUCAAAAGUUAAGCUUUCUUUUCUUCGAAAAUUAAUAAUGAAUUCAUAGUAGGAAACGUGUAAGGGUCGUGCAGCCUAUUGUCAAAGUUCUAUUUUGUUCAAAAUAAUUGUAUUCUACUGAAUGUGCCAUCGAAAUUAUGCAGGUGUCAUCAUAAUUAUCUGCUGUUUGUAUUGGACUUGCUAGAUCAACAACCUCAGCAUAGACCAAUCUCUCAUUCCAUCAUUCUAGAUAAACUUGGAUAACUGAUGGGUGGUUUCAUGUGUUCUAAAUUAGAGGUUUCUAAAUUGGCAUGACCAACUUUAUGAGAAGUCAUGUCCUUUCAAGAAAAGGACAAGGACUAUACAGUCCUUCCUUGUUUGCUAACCUGUUGGCUGCAACCCUUGAAUCUCCCUUAUUUACUUCCUUACACGGGCCCUCAUGAUUUGAGGUAAUACUUACUGUCGCUACAAUCUUG